rnacentral:rRNA from 1 species
UACGGGGGGAGCAAGCGUUGUUCGGAUUUACUGGGCGUAAAGGGCGCGUAGGCGGCCACCGCAAGUCGACUGUGAAAUCUCCGGGCUUAACCCCGGAAAGGUCAGCCGAUACUGCGGGGCUAGAGUGCAGAAGGGGCAACUGGGAAUUCUCGGUGUAGCGGUGAAAUGCGUAGAUAUCGAGAGGAACACCUGCGGCGAAGGCGGGUUGCUGGGCUGACACUGACGCUGAGGCGCGAAAGCGUGGGGAGCGAACAGG